rnacentral:rRNA from 1 species
UACGUAGGGUGCAAGCGUUAAUCGGAAUUACUGGGCGUAAAGCGUGCGCAGGCGGUUUGGUAAGACAGGUGUGAAAUCCCCGGGCUUAACCUGGGAACUGCGCUUGUUACUGGCAAGCUAGAGUGUGGCAGAGGGGGGUGGAAUUCCAGGUGUAGCAGUGAAAUGCGUAGAGAUCUGGAGGAACACCGAUGGCGAAGGCAGCCCCCUGGGCUAACACUGACGCUCAUGCACGAAAGCGUGGGGAGCAAACAGG